GCUCCAUGUGACAGCCUCAGUGGGCACUUGUCUGGAAGCCAGUGUUUGAAGCAAGAAGUCAUCCCCAUCACCUUUCUGGGUUCCUGAAGAUACAGCUUUGUGGUUGAUUCUGAGCACUUUGAAGUUGGAGGGCUCUAAGGGAGCACACUGGCAUUGGGCAGGGAGUCCCUCAAAGGGAGCCUGUGGAUUACAUUUCUACUUUGUCAGUCUUGGUCUGCAUUUAAUUUACUUUACAAAUAAACUAAUUGAUUUUCAUUAGGAAAA